rnacentral:rRNA from 1 species
CAGUCGCCACGGUAAUACGUAGGUGGCAAGCGUUGUCCGGAAUUAUUGGGCGUAAAGGGUUCGCAGGCGGUUUCUUAAGUCUGAUGUGAAAGCCCCUGGCUCAACCGGGGAGAGUCAUUGGAAACUGGGAAACUUGAGUGCAGAAGAGGAGAGUGGAAUUCCACGUGUAGCGGUGAAAUGCGUAGAGAUGUGGAGGAACACCAGUGCGAAGGCGACUCUCUGGUCUGUAACUGACGCUGAGGAGCGAAAGCGUGGGGAGCGAACAGGAUUAGAUACCCCCGUAGUCCCUGUCUCUUAUACA